rnacentral:lncRNA from 1 species
ACUUGCGCCUCGGGGACGCCUCGGCGCGGAAGGGGCUGGGUGCAGCGGGAGGACACAGUGUACCGGGUGCUGGGUGCCCACGCCGUGCGCCUCCGCCGUGUGCACAGCUCCCCUCCCUCCUGUCCUGUACUCGAACCUGAGCCGUUAGCGCGCGGGUGAAAGCGGGACUUGGGAAUGCUGCUUGCAUUCCCAAACCGGUUGGAAGUGCAGACAGGUUACAACUCUGUAGCAGCCAAGGCUUAAUAAUUGUGCAGCAUCACAGUAAACCCGUGGGGUGGUUACUGAUGACGUAUCCGUUGCAUGUUGAGUACUUUUAGCGUGUAACAGGGACUGUAGGAAGUGUGUUGUGUGUGAGAUGUCACUUAAUUCUGUAGCAACCCAUAAGAUAAGGACUCUCCAGUAUUCUCAUUGUAGAGAGGAGAAACUGCAGGUCCAGAGAAGUUAAUUUGUCCAGAGUCACACAGCCA